UACGAAGGGUGCAAGCGUUACUCGGAAUUACUGGGCGUAAAGCGUGCGUAGGUGGUGAGUUAAGUCUGAUGUGAAAUCCCCGGGCUCAACCUGGGAAUGGCAUUGGAUACUGGCUCGCUAGAGUGCGGUAGAGGGUGGUGGAAUCCCGGUGUAGCAGUGAAAUGCGUAGAGAUCGGGAGGAACAUCUGUGGCGAAGGCGGCCACCUGGACCAACACUGACACUGAGGCACGAAAGC
rnacentral:rRNA from 1 species